UACGGAGGGAGCUAGCGUUGUUCGGAAUUACUGGGCGUAAAGCGCACGUAGGCGGCUAUUUAAGUCGGGGGUGAAAGCCCGGGGCUCAACCCCGGAACUGCCCUCGAAACUAGGUAGCUAGAAUCUUGGAGAGGUCAGUGGAAUUCCGAGUGUAGCGGUGAAAUGCGUAGAUAUCUGGAGGAACACCGGUGGCGAAGGCGGCAUCCUGGACCAACACUGACGCUGAGGAGCGAAAGCCAGGGGAGCAAACGGG
rnacentral:rRNA from 1 species